rnacentral:rRNA from 1 species
GGGCCCGCACAAGCGGCGGAGCAUGUUGCUUAAUUCGAUGCAACGCGAAGAACCUUACCUGGGUUUGACAUGCACCAGACGCACUCAGAGAUGGGUGUUCCCUUGUGGUUGGUGUGCAGGUGGUGCAUGGCUGUCGUCAGCUCGUGUCGUGAGAUGUUGGGUUAAGUCCCGCAACGAGCGCAACCCUUGUUCCAUGUUGCCAGCGGGUUAUGCCGGGGACUCAUAGGAGACUGCCGGGGUCAACUCGGAGGAAGGUGGGGAUGACGUCAAAUCAUCAUGCCCCUUAUGUCUAGGGCUGCAAACAUGCUACAAUGGCCGGUACAAAGGGCUGCGAUACCGCGAGGUGGAGCGAAUCCCAAAAAGCCGGUCUCAGUUCGGAUUGGGGUCUGCAACUCGACCCCAUGAAGUCGGAGUCGCUAGUAAUCGCAGA